ensembl:rRNA 5S_rRNA 5S ribosomal RNA
UAUGGUUGUCAUAUCACCCUGCAACUCACAACUGGCAACCCACUGAAGCUAAGCAGGUGUGAGCCUGGUCAGUACCUGGAUGGGAGACCUCCUGGGAAAAACUAAGGUUGCUGCUGGAA